rnacentral:rRNA from 1 species
GAUGAACGCUAGCGGCAGGCCUAAUACAUGCAAGUCGAACGGUGUAGCAAUACACAGUGGCGCACGGGUGCGUAACACGUAUGCAACCUACCUUACAUUGGGGGAUAGCCUUUCGAAAGGGAGAUUAAUACCGCAUAAGACAGUAACUAGGCAUCUAGUAGCUGUUAAAGAUUUAUCGAUGUAAGCUGGGCAUGCGUCCAAUUAGUUAGUUGGCGAGGUAAUGGCUCACCAAGACGAUGAUUGGUAGGGGAACUGAGAGGUCAAUCCCCCACACUGGCACUGAGAUACGGGCCAGACUCCUACGGGAGGCAGCAGUAGGGAAUAUUGGGCAAUGGGAGCAAGCCUGACCCAGCCAUGCCGCGCGCAGGAAGAGGGCGUUAUGCGUUGUAAACUGCUUUUAUACAGGAAGAAACGACCCUUGCGAGGGGCAUUGACGGUACUGUAUGAAAGCACCGGCUAACUCCGUGCCAGCAGCCGCGGUAACAC